AACGAACGCUGGCGGCGUGGAUAAGACAUGCAAGUCGAGCGCCCUGUAGUAAUACAGGGAGCGGCGAACGGGUGAGUAACACGUGAAUAAUCUGCCGAAAAGUUGGGGAUAGCCUUCCGAAAGGAAGAUUAAUACCGGAUGUGGCCAAGGACGGCAUUGUCCUGAAGCUAAAGUCGCAAGACGCUUUCUGAGGAGUUCGC
rnacentral:rRNA from 1 species